CCUACGGGAGGCAGCAGUAGGGAAUUUUCGUCAAUGGGCGCAAGCCUGAACGAGCAAUGCCGCGUGAACGAAGAAGGUCUUCGGAUCGUAAAGUUCUGUUGAAGGGGAAAAAGAGCGGAGAGAGGAAAUGGUCUCCGAUUGAUAUUACCCUUCGAGGAAGUCACGGCUAACUACGUGCCAGCAGCCGCGGUAAUACGUAGGUGGCGAGCGUUAUCCGGAAUGAUUGGGCGUAAAGGGUGCGUAGGCGGCCUGCUAAGUCUGGAGUGAAAGGUACCGGCUCAACCGGUACAGGCUCUGGAAACUGGCGGGCUAGAGAGCAGGAGAGGUCGGUGGAACUCCAUGUGUAGCGGUAAAAUGCGUAGAUAUAUGGAAGAACACCAGUGGCGAAGGCGGCCGCCUGGCCUGUUACUGACGCUGAGGCACGAAAGCGUGGGGAGCAAAUAGGAUUAGAUACCCCAGUAGUC
rnacentral:rRNA from 1 species